rnacentral:miRNA from 1 species
GGGUGAAAUGGGGAGUUUGGGGCUGGGUCUUUGCGGGCGAGAUGAGAAGUUUCUGCCUUCAACUGGCCUACAAAGUCCCAUUUCUCGGCUCCCAAGUCUGCGC